CCGGCCGACUUCUAACAGAACUCCCCCAUCAUCCUCAAUGGAGCGUCAUUGAGCUCGAACACCUCCAGCGGAAGAUGACCCACCACUUGGCAGGAAGCUCUUCUGGGAUCUGCCUUCCUGAAAUUUCUUACCGUUGAGCCACCUCUUAGGCUGUUCUAAUUAAAGACAGCUGAGCGGCAGCAUGGGGUUAUGUGUAAGAGAUCCUGCUUUGACCCUCCAGCCCUAUCAUUUGGUAGCUGUGUCACCUUUGUGCUUCCGUUUCUGCAGGUAUGAUGCAAAAGCAAGAUCAUAAUCAUAAUAACUCAUAACGUUUCUAUAAGUAGCAAAUGAUAUUGCACAAACAGAGCCCUUCAAAAGGAAGCUGGCACAGAAGAGGAACAUGAAAGAGCUCCCGUCUUGGAAGCUCCUCCAUCACAGUGAGAUGCACAGAAGUGGAUUUAAUAUUCUGUUGUGAUAGACUGUGUCCCCUCAUUAGGCGGGAACAACACCCGCCCUGACCCAGGCUUCACGAUUUCACCAAUGCUUGCCUACGAUGCCAUUUGGCUCUUCACCCUUCUAAACCACAUCACUGGGUGCUCUCAGUCUUGUAGACACCUAAAACUACCAGCCCUUUUUCAUGAAAACUACUGUCAAACCAAGCCUUUCCAAACAAUGUUUAUGUGAUUUAUUUUGGGGGUAAGAAUACAUUUCCAUCUAUUAAAGUAAAUUCUUGGUGUG